rnacentral:lncRNA from 1 species
ACAGACCCAAAAGGACAUACAUGAUUGACCUGGCCUUCACUUGAGGCAGUGGGCUACCUACCCAUCUCAAGAUUUAUGACCCAGAAUUGUUCCUGUCUAAAGGAAAUCCAGGGACAAAAAUGGAGCAGAGACUGAAAGGCCAUCCAGUGACCAGCCCAACUUGGAAUUGAUCCUAUGCAUGAACACCAAAUCCUGACACUGUUACUUGGGCCAUAUUGUGUGUGCAAAGAGGAGCAUAGUAUGGCUGUCCUCUGAAAGGUUCUACUAGCAACUGAUUGAGACAAAUGCAGAAGCUUUCAGCUAACCAUGGAUUGAGGUUGGGGACCAAUAUAGAAGAGUGAGAGUAAGGUGCUGAAGAGGAUAGCAACCCUGUAGGAAGAACAACAAUGUCAACCAAUCCAUUUAGUUCACUUUUACUUUCCCAGAUACUUAACCCAGUUUAGUUUACUUUCUCAGAACUUCCAAAGAAUAAGCCAAAAACCAAGGAGCAUACCCAGGCUGGUUUGUACCCCCCUAAUCCCCCUAACAUACCCCUCUCCCCUGCACAGAGGUAGAAGAGAAUGGCCUUGUCUGGCCUCAGUGCGAUGUAUUGUAUUUAAUUCUCUGGAAAUUGAUGCCCUAGGGAAGAGGGAUGCUGGUGGGGUGAGGUGGGAAUUGGGGUGAGGGAAGGAAGCACCCCUCUGAGAUGGGAAGGGGAGGCGGGAUCAAGAAGGGUGUAACUUUUGGAAUGUAAAUAAAAUAAUUUAAUAAAAAAUUAAGAAAAGAAAUGG